CUGUGAAGUGUACAAGAACUUGUGAGUAGCGUGUUAUUUGUAACCGCAAAAACAUACACGGUGAAACAGUAA
rnacentral:sRNA from 1 species